rnacentral:rRNA from 1 species
AUGAACGCUGGCGGCGUGCCUAAUACAUGCAAGUCGAGCGAACAGAUGAGGAGCUUGCUCCUCUGACGGUAGCGGCGGACGGGUGAGUAACACGUGGAUAACCUACCUAUAAGACUGGGAUAACUUCGGGAAACCGGAGCUAAUACCGGAUAAUAUAUUGAACCGCAUGGUUCAAUAGUGAAAGACGGUUUUGCUGUCACUUAUAGAUGGAUCCGCGCCGCAUUAGCUAGUUGGUAAGGUAACGGCUUACCAAGGCAACGAUGCGUAGCCGACCUGAGAGGGUGAUCGGCCACACUGGAACUGAGACACGGUCCAGACUCCUACGGGAGGCAGCAGUAGGGAAUCUUCCGCAAUGGGCGAAAGCCUGACGGAGCAACGCCGCGUGAGUGAUGAAGGUCUUCGGAUCGUAAAACUCUGUUAUUGGGGAAGAACAAAUGUGUAAGUAACUAUGCACGUCUUGACGGUACCUAAUCAGAAAGCCACGGCUAACUACGUG